rnacentral:rRNA from 1 species
AUUGAACGCUGGCGGCAGGCCUAACACAUGCAAGUCGAACGGUAACAGGAAGAAGCUUGCUUCUUUGCUGACGAGUGGCGGACGGGUGAGUAAUAUCUGGGAAACUGCCUGAUGGAGGGGGAUAACUACUGGAAACGGUAGCUAAUACCGCAUAACGUCGCAAGACCAAAGAGGGGGACCUUCGGGCCUCUUGCCAUCGGAUGUGCCCAGAUGGGAUUAGCUUGUUGGUGGGGUAACGGCUCACCAAGGCGACGAUCCCUAGCUGGUCUGAGAGGAUGACCAGCCACACUGGAACUGAGACACGGUCCAGACUCCUACGGGAGGCAGCAGUGGGGAAUAUUGCACAAUGGGCGCAAGCCUGAUGCAGCCAUGCCGCGUGUAUGAAGAAGGCCUUCGGGUUGUAAAGUACUUUCAGCGGGGAGGAAGGGAGUAAAGUUAAUACCUUUGCUCAUUGACGUUACCCGCAGAAGAAGCACCGGCUAACUCCGUG